CAUAGCGACGCCGCAGGAAACUGCCAUGACGUAAUCAUCUUCUACCCGACACACACCCAAUACCCACACACACAGGACUAUGGAGUAAAUUGAGUGUAUGCUGUUAUUGAUACUUAGGAUGUGGCUGUUUCUCACAGUAAGAAGACAAAUGUUGUUUCAGGAGAGGCUGAGGGCAGCAAAAUGAAAAACUGCUGAAAAAAAUAGGAGAGUUUACUCCGUCUGGAUCGUGCAAUUAUGACACAGUGAAUAGUGACGAUUCUCUCUGACCAAUCAGCAGUCUGCCGUGUUUUUAUGUCACAAAAGUGCCUGGAAGCAGGUACAGGUACAACUUUUACAAAGUGGAAAACCAAAUAAAGGCGAGUCGAGGCGAGGCGAGUCAAGCUGGUACUGUGUAGUGGAAAAGCGGGGGCAGUUAGUAAGAAAUUCCUUGAUACAGUGACAUAUGGGCUGGGAAAGGCCUAAGUCAGCUAGUUUAGAGAUCAGUCUGCCCAGGAUGACGAAAGUAUAUGAAGAGCAUCCUCACAUAGCUCCCUUGGUAUUCAAGAUAGAUCAGGGCUGAGUGAAAAGAAGUGGCGGUUGACAACUCAAAAAAAAAAUAGUUUUAAGUAAAAUUUAGUUUGGAUGCAGUAUCAAAUGAUUCCACUAGAUAAAAUUUGCUUCCCAUUAAAUUUCAAUGUGGCCAUUUUUAACCACAAACAGUAAAAUUGUGACGUUUGUUUUUUUUUUUUGUUUUUUUUUUUUGCAACCAUUUAAUUCUCUGUAUGGUCUGUUUUUGGUUCUGGUUUAGGUUUUCAUGUCUUUCAUUUUUAUAUCUUCCUUAUUUCAUUUUCCUAUCAUCUGUUUUCCUCUACAGUCUUGUGAUGCCCUUGUCUGCAUGUUAUGUUCUGAUUGGUUUCUUGGUUCAUGUGUAAUUGUUAUUUCAUUGGUUGUCUCUUGUUAUGUGACCCUCAUAUACCAGAUAAAAAUGACAACUUUAAAAUGUAUAUAUCUCUUAUAAAUGUUGACAGUUUAUAACAGACUGGAUUGUGAUUUAAUUUAUGCGAUCAGGGCUUGUCCUAAUUGCAUCUUCAUUGUUUCUGUGGUGUUUCUAGGAGGCAGAGGAGAUUCAGUAUGUUGUAAGACUGCUACCUCCUCUGACAGAUUAAGAAUCCACAAAAGUCAACCAGCCGUCCCAAACCAAUCCUUUAGACAAGGCACUGCGUCAACUGCAGAAAGUGGCCCGGACACUUGCCGUUAACAACACCUCUCAGGAAGACUGUUAAAAACAUCAUCCGUUGGCCAGAACAUGGUGAAUGGGUGAAAGGGUCGAUGCUGCACCACAUGCAUCAAUUCUGCAUCCUGUUUGAAAGAUUUUUUGUAAGAAAAUGGCAUGUAGUCCAAAAACAAAAAUGGAAGUGCAGAAUCAAUAUUACCUGAAGGAGCUUGCUGAAGAUUUUGAAGCCAUAUUGUUCAGCAGCUUGGGUUAUGGUCAACUGCAACAUAAAUUGAAUUUUAGUUUGUAGAAUGACAUUUUUAUGACUUUUUGGAACUUACAAAAUGGUGGACAUCGGUUGAGUUACAUACAUUGGUGAAGAUAUUUGCCUUGCCCGUUAGAUCGUAUGGAAAGAGGACAUUGUCUGUGAAAUGUAUCACUCCAUUGGAGCACGCAACAUCACUGGUGAGGAUCUUUGUCUUAUCGUUGAUGUACACAAUGCCCUGAGAGACAAAAGUAGACACUUCAGAUCAGAGUCAGAAAAUAACUUUUCCACUUCGGAAACUGAUUUACAAGGGGAACUUUUGUAAUCAACUUAUUAAAUGGAUCUGUUCAUACUGUG